UGGGGAAUAUUGGACAAUGGGCGAAAGCCUGAUCCAGCCAUGCCGCGUGAGUGACGAAGGCCUUAGGGUUGUAAAACUCUUUCGUCGGGGACGAUAAUGACGGUACCCGAAGAAGAAGCUCCGGCUAACUUCGUGCCAGCAGCCGCGGUAAUACGAAGGGAGCUAGCGUUGUUCGGAAUCACUGGGCGUAAAGCGCACGUAGGCGGAUAGUUAAGUCAGGGGUGAAAUCCCGGAGCUCAACUUCGGAACUGCCUUUGAUACUGGCAAUCUCGAGUCCGGAAGAGGUUAGUGGAAUUCCCAGUGUAGAGGUGAAAUUCGUAGAUAUUGGGAAGAACACCAGUGGCGAAGGCGGCUAACUGGUCCGGUACUGACGCUGAGGUGCGAAAGCGUGGGGAGCAAACAGGAUUAGAUACCCAUGUAGUCCCUGAGCGGGCUGGCAAGGCGCAU
rnacentral:rRNA from 1 species